rnacentral:rRNA from 1 species
UAGCGCGCGUAGGCGGUUUCUUAAGUCUGAUGUGAAAGCCCACGGCUCAACCGGGGAGGGUCAUUGGAAACUGGGAAACUUGAGUGCAGAAGAGGAAAGUGGAAUUCCAUGUGUAGCGGUGAAAUGCGCAGAGAUAUGGAGGAACACCAGUGGCGAAGGCGACUUUCUGGUCUGUAACUGACGCUGAUGUGCGA